rnacentral:pre_miRNA from 1 species
AAUAAGAUCAUUUUACAGUCUUUUAAUAUAAUGUUUUGACUCUUUAUCUUAUUUAAAUUUUUUUACGAUUAAUAUUUUUAUUCUUACUAGAUGAUAAAACAUGAAUAAUACUUUAUACGUGACUAAUUUUUUUAAAGUUUUUUUAAAAAAAUUCAAAUAAAAUGAAUGGUCAAACGUUGGACAUAGAUAAAC